CACGUGGACAACCUAACCUAUGGAGGGGGAUAACCCCGGGAAACUGGGGAUAAUACCCCAUAGACUAUAAAUGCUGGAAUGCUUUGUAGUUGAAAGGUCCGCCGCCAUAGGAUGGGUCUGCGGCCGAUUAGGUUGUUGUUGGGGUAACGGCCCAACAAGCCUGUAAUCGGUACGGGUUGUGGGAGCAAGAGCCCGGAGAUGGAUUCUGAGACACGAAUCCAGGCCCUACGGGGCGCAGCAGGCGCGAAAACUUUACAAUGCGGGAAACCGUGAUAAGGGAACUCCGAGUGCCCGUAAAAUCGGGCUGUCCAUCUGUGUAAAAAACAGGUGAAGAAAGGGCCGGGCAAGACCGGUGCCAGCCGCCGCGGUAAUACCGGCGGCUCGAGUGGUGGCCACUAUUACUGGGCUUAAAGUGUUCGUAGCUGGUCUGUUAAGUCUCUGGGGAAAUCUACUGGCUUAACCAAUAGGCGUCUCAGGGAUACUGGCAGACUAGGGACCGGGAGAGGUGAGAGGUACUCCAGGGGUAGGAGU
rnacentral:rRNA from 1 species